GGCUACACACGUGCUACAAUGGGUAGAACAGAGAGUCGCAAAGCUGUGAAGUGGAGCUAAUCUCAGAAAACUAUUCUUAGUUCGGAUUGUACUCUGCAACUCGAGUACAUGAAGUUGGAAUCGCUAGUAAUCGCGAAUCAGCAAUGUCGCGGUGAACACGUUCUCGGGUCUUGUACACACCGCCCGUCACACCACGAGAGUUGGUUGCACCUGAAGUAGCAGGCCUAACCGUAAGGAGGGAUGCUCCGAGGGUGUGAUUAGCGAUUGGGGUGAAGUCGUAACAAGGUAUCCGUACGGGAACGU
rnacentral:rRNA from 1 species